rnacentral:tRNA from 1 species
UAGGGGGUGGCAUAAUUGGAAGUGCGGGGGGUUUUGAUUCCCCAGGUGCAGGUUCAAUUCCUGUCCCGCUAG